UUGAAGCGUUCAAAUGGUUAAUUAGAUGGUUAAUUAUAUUUAAGUUGGGUUUAUAUAUGUAAAAUAAAUUGAGCCAAAAUUACAGGAUAUAUCAUUGCCCAAUUUAUUAUAUUUAAUAAAUAAAUAAAAACAACAAUUUUAAAAUAUAUCAAUUAUUUAUUAUAUUUUAUGCAUUAUGUAUUAUACAUAUAAUCGUAUCGUUUAAUCAAUCGAAAUAGAUAUCAGUAUUUGUAAUACAGAAAUGGUAUUUUUUUAAAAUCUUACAAAAACAUAUUACGAGUCUGAUAUCGGUUAUUUGCAAUUAAUAUUCUAUUUAAAACUUUUGUUUUUCUUUACGAUCUAUUUAAAAGCCAAACAUAGAAGACAACAAACUCAAUAAAAUAAUAGAUUUUAUAAAUAAUGUAUUAGCUAAUUACUUUAGUCUAUCAGACAUGGAAAACGGUAUGUUACUUUGAAAUAUUUAAGUCUAAUACAAUUAAUAUAUUAAAAUAAUUAAAAUAUAAGAAUUGAGAAAAAAGCUAUAACUAGGCAAACCUAAAUAUAACUGUUUUGGAGCAAAUAUCUAAUUCAAACUAGGUCCUAUACGGGCUGUAACCGGGCAAACCUAACUGUGAGUCUUGGGGAAAAAGUUGUAAAUUUAAACCAGGCCCAAUUCAGGCAAGCCCAAGUUCAAAUAUCCUAAAUAGGCCUGAAUAGGCCUUGAAUAGGUUUCAGUCCGAAAAGCCUUUAUUUUGGAUGCCUAAGUAACGCCCGUUAUGGGGCCAAUAUUAAAUAGAGCAUGCCUAGAUGAAUUUCCACAUGGGAUCUAGCAAUCAGCUGGUUUGAUUAUCCUACAUAAUUAUUUAAUAAUCCAACAAAAUUAUUUUCAGACCUCCAUCUGUAGCUUUUUUUGACACUUCAGAAAAAUCGUUUUUUCCGUGCAGAAUCCUCAAGUACACGCUCCUCGUCGUGCCGCUCAUUGUUCGUCAUGAAAUCCUCAAAUCGACGGCGGCAAUUUUGCAAACGACCGCGCGUCCGUGAUUCGAGAAUCACGCGGAGUGGUUAAACGGCCGGGCGCACUCUAUGAUUGAGCGAUGCAAGGCGCCGUCAAGUGAUACGAGCAGAGCGAUCUCCCCACGCGCGAAAAUCAGCUCGGACGCCUCGGCGCGCAGCGUAAAGACAGGCACUCGGGGUUAUUAAUGCCCCCCUCGACACUCCGAUACCAUAGAGCUAACGAUUAUUUACUUCGAAAUAUUUAUCCCGUAUCUCCUCGCACGCCCCAUUAUCGCAGCCGCAUGAUAAACGGCCCCCGUGUGAAAAAUCGAUUUUAUUGUCGGUACGCGCGCAUACCUAACAUGUGCGCGCACACGUAUACAACGAAUUCUCUCGCGCGCUUGUUGCACUCUCUCUUUCUCUCUCUCUCUCUCUCUCUCUUUCUCGCGAGAGAAAGAAAGAGAGAGAGAGAGAGAGAGAGAGAGAGAGAGAGAGAGAGAGAGAGAGAGAGAGAGAGAGAGAGUAUGUAACAUUUCGACACGUGAGCGUUCAUCGACGGACCAGCGGAUGAUGGAUACGCCUACUCUUGAUAUUUCGGUGAUCAAUAACGCGCGGCUCUCUCUCUCUCUCUCUUUUUCUCGCGCGCGCGGUGCCGUGUUCGCGCCCCGAAGGAGGGAACCAUUAUUCACCCGUGCAGUCGCCGGUGAAUAAAUAAUUUACCUCGUCAUACCAGCGGCCAUCAGAGGACCGACUUUGCAGCGGCGGCGGCGGUGGUGCCCUUUCCCUGGUCCUUUGUGUUACCGAUAAUAAUAAAGGUAUGCGCGCGAUUCGGUCUUUUCUUGUGGGCCACGGUCGCGUCGGAAACGAUACGGCGCGCGCGAGCGUCUCUCGGAUCUCUCCUCUCCCGUCGAUGGUAGUGCAUGCGUUCGACGGCUCGAGGAUGCGCGCCGUCGAGAAGGCCUGGGCAUCAGGAUUCAGACCCGCGGACUUUGAAUGGCACGGUCGAUUUAUCUCCUUUACGCGAGACCGGGCCAUCAACCGAGCGAUCGGAAAGGCUCGCGCCCACUUAUCUAUCUGCGUGUAUGAGUAUCUGCGUAUAUACAUGAAUACAGUCUCUCUCUUUCUCUCUUUCUCUCUCUCUCUCUCUCUCUUUCUCUCUUCGUUUCGGUUACGCGCGCAUGUCUACAGACGAAAGCUCACCGCACGUUCGAUCACUAUUUGGGAGCAUGAUCGGUAGUUUCGAUUCAGUGUGGCAAAACCCUCCCUCUCGUUCCCUCCCUCUCUCCCUCUUUCCCUUUUUUCCUUUUCGUUUGAUACAAUUAUUAUCUCGGAUGACGAUAAUUAGCGCCUACUUAACAAUUGGCUUGUAUUCUCGUCGCUUUUGUGCCCUCAACCGAGCAGCAUCUCGUCACGACUGAGCUUUCUCUUUCCGCGAGAUAGCCUUCUUACAAGAAAUCACGGGUUGUUAGGAUGCGAAGCAUUAUCUCACAAAAGACGGGCGGCGCACUCAGAGAGAGAUCUAUAAAACCUAAGCAGCCAUAAAACAGUCUCCGAGGUGGCCUUGUCUUGAUCCUAGAUUUACGCGUAUUAAAAGGGAAUUACAAUAUUAAUAAGGCAUUUUUAAUGGGCGAACGCGGCCUUCAUGUCGGAAUCGUCGGAGCCUUUGGCUAG